GUUUCCUUGGCCUCCCGAGUUCUGAGUGGGAAAGUGCGGUUCCCGAGAGCCCUUGCGCUGCUCUGCUGCAGGUCGCGGUGCCCGAGGCUGACGCGGGCUCCCUGGACCCUCUACCUAACCCGCCUCGCCCUGGGGCGGAGGGGAAACCCCCCUCCCACGGACCCGCGGCACGGCUAUGUCUGGAGAGCACCGGGCCCAACCCAGCUCAAGACCCUGAAGGGCGUGGGGAGUUCGGCGGGGUGCGGACUGUCACCAUCCCCGGCGGGGGCGCGCGGAAUCUGCGGUCCCGGAAGAACAGGCUGCGCCGCGACGGCCGGAAGCGCGGCUCGCGAGGCGGAAGCGGAGGGUGCCCGCAGGUUGCGGUGGGAGCCUGUUCUGUCCACGCCGGAGACCCUCAGUCGUGGGCAGGGCGUGGUUGUGGCAAGGUCUGCCAGGAAAAAGACUUAAAAGGCCAAAAGAGCAGGGCCACUUACGGAAGGGAAAAAAAAUGUCUCAAAAGCAGUUGAAGGAAGCCUUUGUCAGUAACCUCAGUGGGACCAGUGUGCUGGAAGUGACCCAGGGCCUGUGCUUUCCUGCCUUCUGUAUCCUGUGUAGAGGCCUUUGGAUCAUCUUCUCACAGCACGUAUGCUCUUUCUCAAACACCUGGAGCACAGGAUUCCUCAUGGACUUUGUUGUCUUGAUAGUCCCCCUAGUGAUCACUCUGACUGUAUUGUCUUCCUUUAUCCUUCUCGAGAACCUCACUGUGAUUGUCUGGGGGGCAUGGCUGUUGUAUCAGAUAUACCACAGGAGGACGUGCUAUGCCAAAGUGCCUGUCCGGAAAGUCUUUGCAAACUUCUUGAAAAUCAGCCUAGAGUCAGAGUACAACCCCGCCAUCACCUGUUAUCGGGUCAUUAACAGCGUAUUUACUGCUAUUGCCAUUUUGGCCGUGGAUUUCCCACUUUUCCCUAGAAGAUUUGCCAAAACUGAACUUUAUGGGACAGGAGCAAUGGAUUUUGGAGUAGGUGGCUUUAUUUUUGGGGCGGCAAUGGUUUGUCCAGAGGUUAGAAGGAAAUCUAUAGAAGAGUCUAGAUUUAAUUAUCUUAGAAAAUCGCUGUAUUCUGUCUGGCCAUUAGUCUUCUUAGGAAUGGGACGGUUGGUCAUUAUAAAGUCCAUAGGCUACCAGGAACAUUCUACCGAGUACGGCAUUCACUGGAACUUUUUCUUUACCAUCAUAGUUGUGAAAUUAAUAACGUCACUGCUUUUGAUUAUUUUUCCUUUAAAUAAGUCAUGGAUUGUGGCUGUCAGCAUUACUGUGGUAUACCAGCUAGCCCUGGAUUAUACUCCACUCAAGAGGAUACUUUUGUAUGGCACUGAUGGCAGUGGCACAAGGGUUGGCUUCUUAAAUGCUAACCGAGAGGGAAUCAUUUCCACUUUGGGGUAUGUGACAAUACACAUGGCUGGUGUACAAACGGGAUUGUAUGUGCUUAAGAGAAGAGCACAAGUCAGAGACUGGAUAAAAGCUACUUGUUGGGUUUUCUCAGUAGCUGUUGGCUUCUUCAUUUCUCUUCAUAUAGUACAAGUAAACGUAGAAGCAGUGUCUCGAAGAAUGGCCAAUUUAGCCUUUUGUCUGUGGGUGGUGGCUUCCAGUCUGACGCUUCUCAGUUGUCUGUUACUGAGUGGUAUAAUUUUGAGUUUUGCCCAAUUUCUAAUUAAAGGGUCUCUAGUUCCAUGUUCUUGGAAACUUAUACAGUCUCCUACUACACAUAAAAACCAUUCUGAAUCUCUAAUCUUAGAAGCUGAAAAAAACCAACCCAGUCUUUGUUUGAUCACAGCUCUGAACAGAAACCAGCUGUUUUUUUUCUUACUGUCAAAUAUAACAACUGGUCUGAUUAACCUGACGAUGGAUACAUUACACACUGGUGCCCUAUUGACCUUAGUUGUGCUCAGUACUUAUAUGUUUACCAACUGUUUAGUUAUAUAUGUACUUGAUUUACAAGGUAAAACCAUAAAGUUUUGGUGAUGAGUGGGUAAGAAAUAUGUAUUUGAAUAGCAUUAUUUUAGUGGAGAAGAAUAAGAAGGGAGGAAAUGUGUUCUUAGCAAUCUAGUCUUAACCAUACUUUAUUAUGAAGUUUUAGUUUUCUACGAUAGAAAUUAAACUUUACCUUUUUUAAAGGAAGAUUCAUGGAUGUUUAAUACAUAUCAACAUUAUGUAAAAUAAGCCAACAGAAGUGGCACAAAGCCUUAAUCCCAGAACAUGGGAGGCAGAGGCAGGCGGAUCUCUGAGUUGGAAGCCAGCCUGGUCUGCAUGUUGAGUUUCAGGACACCCAAGGCUAUGUACAGAGACCCUAGGGGCGGGGGAGGGGGGGCGGCGGCGAAAAAAUAGAAGUAAAAAUCUUGUUACUUAUUGGAACUUAGAAAACACCAGUAUUUUAAAGAACUUGUUCAUAGAUUUUGCUUUGCCUGGAGCUCACAGUUGUACUCUUACCUCAGGCUCAAUGCUGGGAUUUCAGGCAUGAGCCACCACACCCACUUGUUGAUAGUUUUAACACUGGAAGGUGAAUGGUGGUAAUUUUUACUUUCUAUAUAUCAUUAUGGCACUGUAUUUGUGGUUUUUAUAUGAAUAUGUAAUUAUGUGAUUAUGUUUAUAUGUUUACAUUAAGAUGAAUUUUUAAAAAUUUUUAUGUGUAUGCAUAUUUUGUCUGCAUGUAUGUCUGUGCAUCAUAUGUGUGCAAUGCCUACGGAAGUCAGAAGAGGGGGGUUGAAUACCCUGAGACUAGGAUUACAAAUGAUUGUGAGCUGCCAUGUUGGUGCUAAGAAUUGAACCUGGAUCCUCUGGAAUAUCGGCAAAUCCUGCACAUAUUUUUCCAUCCUGUCGAGAUCUUGCUGCAGUCCCCAUAAGGCGGCUGGCUCUGGGUGAGUCAGGUAGCAGAGCCCUUUCCUCCAGUCUUCCAGGGGUGGAAGUCCGCAUGUGUGCAGCCUGGAAAACAAGGUCAAAGGUCUCUGCAGUGUCCGUUCUCCUAGACCUCGACCGCGCCAGCUCUUCCAGCUCUUCAUCGUUCACCUAAGUCUUAUCUGGGUCCCCCCGGAGUGGGCUUUCCACCCCACCGGUCUCCAGAGAGCAGAUCCCGGGUCGUCACGGGCAGGGACCCGGGCUGCUCCUGCUCGGCCUCCCCACUGGCCCUAUUUUCACGCUCGUUUUGGUAAAUCCGGGGCACCACGCAGGUCAGCCAGCCGAGCGCGACAGCACAGGGGGUUCCCCCCACCCCUACACGCCGAUUUCGAAAGUCGGGACACGAGCGAGGCGGCCGCGGUCUCGCGAGAAGAGGCAGGCCCCGCCUGGAGUUCGCGGCCCCCCCUCCCC